rnacentral:rRNA from 1 species
GACGAACGCUGGCGGCGUGCCUAAUACAUGCAGGUAGAACGCACAGUUUAUACCGUAGCUUGCUACACCAUAGACUGUGAGUUGCGAACGGGUGAGUAACGCGUAGGUAACCUGCCUGGUAGCGGGGGAUAACUAUUGGAAACGAUAGCUAAUACCGCAUAAUAUUAAUUAUUGCAUGAUAAUUAAUUGAAAGGUGCAAUUGCACCACUACCAGAUGGACCUGCGUUGUAUUAGCUAGUAGGUGAGGUAACGGCUCACCUAGGCGACGAUACAUAGCCGACCUGGGGGGGUUGUCCGCCACACUGGGACUGGGACACGGCCCAGGCUCCUACGGGAGGCAGCAGUAGGGAAUCAUCGGCAAUGGACGGAAGUCUGACCGAGCAACGCCGCGGGAGUGAAGAAGGUUUUCGGAUCGUAAAGCUCUGUUGUAAGAGAAGAAAGGGUGUGAGAGUGGAAAGUUCACGCUGUGACGGUAUCUUACCAGAAAGGAACGGCUAACUACGUG